AAGUCGUAACAAGGUUUCCGUAGGUGAACCUGCGGAAGGAUCAUUAUCAAAACAGCGGACUUCGGUCUUUGCUGCACCCUUGUCUUUUGCGCACCGAAUUGUUUCCUCGGCGGGCUUGCCUGCCGGUUGGACAUUAUCAAAACCUUUUUGUAGUUGCAAUCAGCGUCAGAAAAAUCAUAAUUAUUACAACUUUCAACAACGGAUCUCUUGGUUCUG
rnacentral:misc_RNA from 1 species